UCCCAGGUGGCUCAGAUGGUAAAGAAUCUGCCUGAAAUGUGGGAUACCUGGGUUCGAUCCCCAGUUCGGGAA
rnacentral:tRNA from 1 species